rnacentral:pre_miRNA from 1 species
CUCCUACUCCCUCCAUCCGGAAAUAGUUGUCCGAGAAAUGGAUGUAUCUAGAUGUAUUUUAGUUCUAUAUACAUCCAUUUGUAUCUAUUUUCACGACAAGUAUUUCCGGACGGAGGGAGUAUGUU